AUCUAUGGGCAGGCCACCCUGAACAAGCCUGAUCCUGUCUGAUCUCAGAAGCUAAGCAGGGUCGGGCCUGGUUAGUACCUGAAUGGGAGACCACCUAAGAAGACCAGGUGCUGUAGGCA
rnacentral:rRNA from 1 species